CGGGUGCUUACCAUGCAAGUCGAACGGAAAGGCCCAGCUUGCUGGGUACUCGAGUGGCGAACGGGUGAGUAACACGUGGGUGAUCUGCCCUGCACUCUGGGAUAAGCCUGGGAAACUGGGUCUAAUACCGGAUAUGACCAACUGUCGCAUGGUGGUUGGUGGAAAGCUUUUGCGGUGUGGGAUGGGCCCGCGGCCUAUCAGCUUGUUGGUGGGGUAAUGGCCUACCAAGGCGACGACGGGUAGCCGACCUGAGAGGGUGAUCGGCCACACUGGGACUGAGACACGGCCCAGACUCCUACGGGAGGCAGCAGUGGGGAAUAUUGCACAAUGGGCGCAAGCCUGAUGCAGCGACGCCGCGUGAGGGAUGACGGCCUUCGGGUUGUAAACCUCUUUCACCAGGGACGAAGCGUGAGUGACGGUACCUGGAGAAGAAGCACCGGCCAACUACGUGCCAGCAGC
rnacentral:rRNA from 2 species